rnacentral:tRNA from 1 species
ACCUGGCUGGCUCAGUUGGUGGAGCGUGUGACUCUUGAUCAGAGGGUUGUGAGUUCAAGCCCCACGUUGGCUG